rnacentral:lncRNA from 1 species
AUUCUGUGAGGUUUCAAGUUGAACUUACGCGUGAUAAUAUCAGCAAUCCGUACCUGGUGAGUAUUCUAUAAUAGAUGUAAUUUUCAUGAGUUUCAAACAUUGAUAUCAUGAUAGUUGUUUUGAAUAUUUACUGAUGAUGUUUUUAAUUAUAAAACAGAGCAUAUGGAAUGCUUUUGAGAUUUAUGUCAGAAACUCAAACUUGAAUGUGAUAACUGCUUGCUGUGACAAUGGAACAAAGACUGAAAUGCAAGUUGCAAAGCAAGACAAUCCUUUUUGGAUGACAGCCUUAGGUCCCGGUUGGUUUGGUUUUUGUCGCAAAAAUGGGUUUCGUGCUGGUGAUCAACUAUGCUUUAAUUUUUCGCUUGUUAACUGUGGUAAUAAUGUUGUUCGUGUUUUUAAAAUUUGAGGUGAGAAAGUUGAUUAUGUUGGAUGCUGCUUGUUGUUGAAAAAAGGGAGCUUGCAAAUAUGAUUUGAUGUAGGCUUUUGAUUAUGGNNN